UACGUAGGGGGCUAGCGUUGUCCGGAAUCAUUGGGCGUAAAGCGCGUGUAGGCGGUCCGGUAAGUCCGCUGUGAAAGUCGGGGGCUCAACCCUCGGAUGCCGGUGGAUACUGUCGGGCUUGAGUACGGAAGAGGCGAGUGGAAUUCCUGGUGUAGCGGUGAAAUGCGUAGAUAUCGUAAGGAAGACCAGUGGCGAAGGCGGGUCUCUGGACAGUUCCUGACACUGAGGCACGAAGGCCAGGGGAGCAAACGGG
rnacentral:rRNA from 1 species